GACGAACGCUGGCGGCGUGCUUAACACAUGCAAGUCGAACGGAAAGGCCCUGCUUUUGUGGGGUGCUCGAGUGGCGAACGGGUGAGUAACACGUGAGUAACCUGCCCUUGACUUUGGGAUAACUUCAGGAAACUGGGGCUAAUACCUGAUAUGAGCUCCUGCUGCAUGGUGGGGGUUGUAAAGUUUCGGCGGUUGGGGAUGGACUCGCGGCUUAUCAGCUUGUUGGUGGGGUAGUGGCUUACCAAGGCUUUGACGGGUAGCCGGCCUGAGAGGGUGACCGGCUACAUUGGGACUGAGAUACGGCCCAGACUCAUACGGGAGGCAGCAGUGGGGAAUAUUGCGCAAUGGGCGGAAGCCUGAUGCAGCAACGCCGCGUGCGGGAUGACGGACGUCGGGGUGUAAACCGCUUUCGCCUGUGACGAAGCGUGAGUGAAGGUAAUGGGUAAAGAAGCAACGGAUAACUACGUG
rnacentral:rRNA from 1 species